rnacentral:rRNA from 1 species
UACGUAGGUGGCGAGCGUUGUCCGGAUUUACUGGGCGUAAAGGGCGUGCAGGCGGUUUGUUAAGUGCAGGGUGAAAGCUCCCGGCUCAACUGGGAGAGGUCCUUGCAUACUGGCGAACUCGAGGGAGGCAGAGGAAAGUGGAAUUCCCGGUGUAGUGGUGAUAUGCGUAGAUAUCUGGAGGAACACCGGUGGCGAAGGCGGCAUCCUGGACCAACACUGACGCUGAGGAGCGAAAGCGUGGGGAGCGAACAGG